CAGGUAAAAGGAAAAUCAGCUGGAACUUCAAUCAACCAAUGUUACCAUAAGCAAAAGAAGAACUUACAUAUUUGGGGUUAAUAUGUGAAGAACUCAUAGGUUUUAUGACCAACAAUAUAUUGCAAUCCAAGGGAAAAAAUGGAAGCAUUAUGAGCCAUUUUCAAAGGCUGUCUCACAAAAUGCACGCUGUAAUUACUGGACUGAAGAGAAUGAUUCCUUCCUGAUAUGACAAGGUUCCUGAUUCCAGGAGAUGAUUCCAAAAGUGAAUUUUCCACACUGAAUGG